AACCUGGUCUUUCAUAAAUUAACCUGUAGUCAUUAAUAGCUUAGAAAUGACGUAAAGCAUCAGAUGAAGUAAAUACAGCAUUUAAAGUUAUUUGAGAAAGCCUGGAAAGAAAAUCAUGAAUACAUUACCUUUAGUGUCUUUCCAGCAGUCAGAAAACUACUUUUGCUUGAGUUUAGGGUUGUCACUUUUGUACAUUGUGAUUCCUCCUCUCUCUGAAUGAACGGUUUAUGAGAGGUCUGUGUUAAUGAAAAGUUUAACUUCCUAAUAAGCCAUUUGGGUUCGUGUUGUGGUUUGCUCUGUUUUUCUCAUUUUCUCUUAGCUGGAUGCUAGUGAUUCCAGUUCUAGCAGCAAUCUUUCACUUGCUAAGGUUAGGCCGAGCAGUGAUCUCAACAACAGUACUGGCCAGUCUCCUCACCACAAAGUGCAGAGAAGUGUUUCUUCAAGCCAGAAGCAAAGACGCUACAGUGACCAUGCUGGACCAGCUAUUCCUUCUGUUGUGGCGUAUCCGAAAAGGAGUCAGACCAGCACUGCAGAUAGUGACCUCAAAGAAGAUGGAAUUUCCUCCCGGAAAUCAAGUGGCAGUGCUGUUGGAGGAAAGGGAAUUGCUCCAGCCAGUCCCAUGCUUGGGAAUGCAAGUAAUCCCAAUAAGGCGGAUAUUCCUGAACGCAAGAAAAGCUCCACUGUACCUAGUAGUAACACAGCAUCUGGUGGAAUGACACGACGAAAUACUUAUGUUUGCAGUGAGAGAACUACAGCUGAUAGACACUCAGUGAUUCAGAAUGGCAAAGAAAACAGCACUAUUCCUGAUCAGAGAACUCCAGUUGCUUCAACACACAGUAUUAGUAGUGCAGCCACCCCGGAUCGAAUCCGUUUCCCAAGAGGCACUGCCAGUCGUAGCACUUUCCACGGCCAGCCCCGGGAACGGCGAACCGCAACAUAUAAUGGCCCUCCUGCCUCUCCCAGCCUGUCCCAUGAAGCCACACCGUUGUCCCAGACUCGAAGCCGAGGCUCCACUAAUCUCUUUAGUAAAUUAACUUCAAAACUCACAAGGAG
rnacentral:sRNA from 1 species